rnacentral:lncRNA from 1 species
AUCAGUAUAGAAGGCGAGGGCUAACCAAUAAGAACCCUCGAAGAUCAAGCUCGCUUUUUAGCGAAGCCAACAUCCAUAAAGAUCCUGAUUGAUCGAGAGGUGAAGGCUAACCUUAAAAGACCUUCGGAGGGCUAAUUUAUCAGGACCCUCAGUUCGCUGACUUCGAUAAUAAGAGAAGGCCAACCUAAAAGGACCUUUGAAGGGCUAACCUA